AUUGUCCUAAUAAUAAGCAGAAAUACAGAGCUUUUAAAAGAUAUGUUUGGAUACACAAAUACACUUGGUCUUCCAUAUCCGUGGGUUCUGUGUCUGUGGAUUCAACCAACGAGGGAUGGAAAGCUUUGAAAAAAAUAAAAUCGUGUUUGUACUGAA